GCUGCGGUUUGAGUGACUCRGAGUUCCCAGGCUCCACACCGGUCUUGGGCCCUCGAUGGACCCUCGCAGGAGGGCUCAGGCAAUGCAGAGUCUUCAGGUGCUACCAGGUGCCAGGGCGGGGUCAUCAGCGGGGGAAGGACUGAGAAUUGAGCAGAGAAAUGCGAAUUACAGUUUGAUCUUAUUAAAUUAAGCCCUGGACUGAUCAGCUAGUUCCAGGGAAGCAAAACAACAGUAAGCCCAAAUUUGGGUGGUUAUCAAAGACAGGGCUGCUCUAGAAAGUUCAUAGAAAAAGGAUAUGCGGUAUUUUCAACGACUACCCAAAGAGCUGAUGUGAAGGACCUGCACUGCCAAGAGCCUCAAACUCCUUUCUAAAGCACACAGCCUCAGGGCUCUGCCCAUCUCCUGGCUCUUCAGUGUGGGGACCCUACUCCUGCUCUGUGAAGCAAGUUCCUGGGUGAAGAGCCAACCAAUGGAACCGCAGGAAAGCCACUCUGAGGCAGAAAUUUAUUUAUUACAAUUCUGGAGGCUGGGAAGUCGAAGACCAAGAUGCCUGGUGAGUAUAAAUAAAAAGAAC